rnacentral:rRNA from 1 species
AACGAACGCUGGCGGCAUGCCUAACACAUGCAAGUCGAACGAGACCUUCGGGUCUAUUGGCGCACGGGUGCGUAACGCGUGGGAACCUGCCCUUAGGUUCGGAAUAACUCCCCGAAAGGGGUGCUAAUACCGGAUAAUGUCUUCGGACCAAAGAUUUAUCGCCUUUGGAUGGGCCCGCGUUGGAUUAGCUUGUUGGUAGGGUAAAAGCCUACCAAGGCGACGAUCCAUAGCUGGUCUGAGAGGAUGAUCAGCCACACUGGGACUGAGACACGGCCCAGACUACUACGGGAGGGAGCAGUGGGGAAUAUUGGACAAUGGGCGAAAGCCUGAUACAGCAAUGCCGCGUGAGUGAUGAAGGACUUAGGGUUGUAAAGCUCUUUUAACCGGGAUGAUAAUGACAGUACCGGGAGAAUAAGCUCCGGCUAACUACGUG